AUAGCAUUAUUGUUCAACACUAUUACGUAUGGCGGGGUAUCAGAGAGUAAGUGGCGCUGGAAACUUACCAAACAAAGUUCGGAACUCAGUUGAUUAAAUUGCUAGUGAAACUAAGUAGCUGGCAACGUUUUGUCGCGUUAAGAUAAAUAAGACGUAGCAAUACGUGAACAUGGGUGGUACCGCGAAAAUUAAGUUUCGCCCCGUGU
rnacentral:ncRNA from 1 species